AUGGAUGGACAACAGUUUCAGCAUAGCAGAAGUGAAAGCUCAAAUGUCUUUGUUAGUGAAUACUGCCCAGCUCCAAGUUUUGAUAUUUUCAAAUACGAUUUUCCUACAGCACAUGUAGAUGAUGGAGCAGAUCGAGAUGCCAGAGAAAAUGCAUUGGCUGACCAUGAGUCAUCGCAGUGCCAAGUAACCAAGGAGCCAGUCAUUGAAAUUAUUGAAGAUGAAAAAGUUGGUAAUCUCGAAGGCAUAGAUGAAGGGUAUGCACAUGCAGAAGAACAGGCUAUGAAGUGUGAGCAUGAGUCCCUGCAGUAUCAAGUACCCAAGGAGCCACUCAUUGAAAUAAUUGAUGACGAUCAUGUUGUGGAUCUUGAAGGCAUAGUUGGGAACAUUUACCAGACACCUGAAAAAGUUACCCACAACCAAGUAGUAGUGGGAUCAGGCAGUAAUAUUUAUAGCAGCAGCAGCUCAGGAAAGAUGGUCCCACAACAAUUUGAGAGAAGGAUUAUCAAGCCACCUCCUUGCAAGAGGUCACCAUUCUUGGACUAUAAUGAGAGGAAAGUGUACAUAUGCAAACCUGAAGUAAGCAGGCUGUAUGCAUCGGUUAUUCUGCACGGGAGAUUGAAUGAAGAAGAAUCACCAGAUGUAGAUACUAGCCCGAAGGUAAUUGACUACAAUGGAUAUGAUGUGUCGGUGAGGGAGCUUGCAAACUCUAUGAAAAAGGAAGGAUAUGUCUUGACACAUGUAAUGGAAAUUGGCAUACUGUCCAUAAUGAUGAAUUUGCAUGCAGACUCCAAGAAGGUUGUCAUGCCCCUGAGGUUCUCGACAAGGAUGCUGCAGAUGACUUUCCUCUCCAAUGAUAUCAACAACCAAGAGAUUAUUUCCCGAUUCAAGAAAUCAAAUCACCUGGACCGGAAAGACAUGAUAAUGUUUAUUGUGUUAGAGAAUAUCGACAAGUCAAAGAAGGUUUCAGGCAACCAUUAUUGGGUCUUCAACGUGAAUAUAAGGGAUCGAAGGUUCGAGGUGCUUGAUUCAUGGAGGACACUUCAGGACAAGACUCUAGAUGUCUGCGCAAGGACUAUGGUUGCUAGUUUUCGGGCUCUGUGGGAAGAGCACUAUCCGAAGUCUCAUAUCUCAUUAGAUGACUUCACACUAAGAAACAUUGAUGUGCCAAAACAAACUAACAAAUAUGACUGCGGCAUUUUUGCUCUCUCAAUUGCAAAUGGGUGGGAAGGAAGGAACGUUCCAAGUUUUACAGCAGAGGAUGUUCAAAGUAUCAGGAAGCAGUUGACAAACACGUGGGUUAACACCAAGCGCAACAAGGCUCCAUGGGAAGCUGUAUUGAAGUUAGCUUAG
rnacentral:rRNA from 1 species